rnacentral:rRNA from 1 species
UACGUAGGGCGCAAGCGUUGUCCGGAAUUAUUGGGCGUAAAGAGCUCGUAGGUGGCGUGUCCCGUCUGCCGUGAAAGCCCAUGGCUUAACUGUGGGUCUGCGGUGGAUACGGGCAGGCUGGAGGCUGGUAGGGGCAAGCGGAAUUCCUGGUGUAGCGGUGAAAUGCGCAGAUAUCAGGAGGAACACCGGUGGCGAAGGCGGCUUGCUGGGCCAGUUCUGACGCUGAGGAGCGAAAGCGUGGGGAGCGAACAGG